UUGUUUUUUUUUUUGUGGAUUUCAAUGUUCAUUGAGUGAAGGUGUUAAGAUUAUUCUGGAAAGAGGGACAUUGGAAAAAUAUUCUAAAUUAUUGAAAAGGAAGAAAUUCAUCGAUGGCAACUUUUAAUUUGUCCUUCAUAUCGUAAGCCAGAUUCACUCUCAAAGCGAAGCCCUUCCUGACAGCUCUGUCGACGUUGCUGAACUGGUCUCCGAACACUGGGAUCCCGAUGAUUGGUUUGCCGAAGUGUACAGCCUCAGUGGUCGAUAAGAGACCACCAUGUGUGAUGAACAGGAUGCAGUUGGGAUGAGCU